GUGAGUCAUCGAAUCUUUGAACGCACAUUGCGCUCGCCAGUAUUCUGGCGAGCAUGCCUGUUCGAGCGUCAUUUCAACCAUCAAGCUCUGCUUGCGUUGGGGAUCCGCGGCUGCCCGCGGUCCCUCAAAAACAGUGGCGGGCUCGCUAGUCACACCGAGCGUAGUAACUCUACAUCGCUAUGGUCGUGCGGCGGGUUCUUGCCGUAAAACCCCCCAAUUUCUAAGGUUGACCUCGGAUCAGGUAGGAAUACCCGCUGAACUUAAGCAUAUCAAUAAGCGGAGGA
rnacentral:misc_RNA from 1 species